CCCGACCCGAACACGACCCAAACACGAAACAAAUAUAAAACGUGUUUCGUGUUCGGGUAACAAACAUGAAACAAGCGGAAUACAUGUUUCGGGUCGGGUUUAGGGUUGGAACAUUGUUCGACCCGAAACACGUUAACAUCCUUGUUCCAAAUUACAAACAAGUCACCAAACACAAACACUAAACACUAAACAGACGUGUUUUCGAGAACCCCUCCCCUUUGGCUUCUUCUCCGACGACUGCGCUUCUCGUGGAUUCCGUUCCGCUGCCGCCCUCCGGUCGACGCGCCUCCGCCUUGCCGUCGCCAACCCUCGUCUCAAUGCCGGAACCCUAGCCACCGCCGAAUCAAUCGAUCGUCGCCGUCCAGGUCUCCAUCUCUCGUCUCAACACCGGAACCCUAGCCGCCGCCGAUUCCUAUUGUUUUAGUGGGAAAACGCUGGAGCUGUCGAUUUCGAUUUUUCCUCGGAGUCGGGAGAAAUUCUGCCGCGACUUCUCGCACGUGCGUUUACGCGACGGCUUGAUCUAGGGUCUUUAAAUUCGUCGGCAGGCAUCGGAGCUCUUCUCGUUCUUGGAUAUUGCAUGCUUUUGACAUUGGAUUGAAUUGAUCUUGGUUAGAGUUCCUUUACUGAUAUUUUUGCUGCCAUGAAGCUUUGAUGACACCACAUGCACAACCCCUUUUUGGUUCCCCCUCGGGUUGGCUUAGUGUGGACUAAUCUUGUUAUCUCAUAUCUAGAUGAGCAUUUGCUAGGAACGAUGUGGCUUUUGAUUUUGUGUGCUUGGUGUGUUUGCGCAUCAGCAAUCAACAAGCAUGCCUAAGCUUGUAAGAGAAGUAGAAGCCAAAGAGAAAGAAGCAGAACAACGACAGCGACUUGAGAUGCAAUCACUGGUGAAGUAAACCGCGACAAUGAUGAAUGAUGAGUAGAGAAUUGAACCUUUCCAUGAAAGGAGAAUUGUUCCAUAUGUAUGUUUCUCAUUUUCUUGUCUGCAACUGUAGGAUAUUUCAACAGAUUGUAAUGGUAGGUGGCAUUCUCAUUCGUGGGUUGUACUAAGCCUCCGUCACAUUAGAUGGUCUAAUGUGAAAAAAGAAGAAGAA